GCUUCAGUGGCCUAGUGGUUAGAGUGUUUGCCUUGGAUGUGGGAGGUUGUGGGUUUGAUCCCCAGUUGAGUCA